rnacentral:rRNA from 1 species
GAUGAACGCUGGCGGCGUGCCUAAUACAUGCAAGUCGAGCGAACAGACGAGGAGCUUGCUCCUCUGACGUUAGCGGCGGACGGGUGAGUAACACGUGGAUAACCUACCUAUAAGACUGGGAUAACUUUGGGAAACCGGAGCUAAUACCGGAUAAUAUAUUGAACCGCAUGGUUCAAUAGUGAAAGACGGUUUUGCUGUCACUUAUAGAUGGAUCCGCGCCGCAUUAGCUAGUUGGUAAGGUAACGGCUUACCAAGGCGACGAUGCGUAGCCGACCUGAGAGGGUGAUCGGCCACACUGGAACUGAGACACGGACCAGACUCCUACGGGAGGCAGCAGUAGGGAAUCUUCCGCAAUGGGCGAAAGCCUGACGGAGCAACGCCGCGUGAGUGAUGAAGGUCUUCGGAUCGUAAAACUCUGUUAUUAGGGAAGAACAAAUGUGUAAGUAACUAUGCACGUCUUGACGGUACCUAAUCAGAAAGCCACGGCUAACUACGUG